GACAAUUUGAAUUGGGCUUUUACUUUUCUCACAUAUAUAUUUAUAUAUAUUAUCUAACCCUAACCCUAAAAACAUAACACAACAUAAAUACAUUCCCCUCAUCACCAUCCGCCUCCUACUUUCUCUUUCUCUCAACUCACUGCCCUCUCUCUCUCUCUCUCUCUCUCUCUCUCUCUCUCUCUCUCUCUCUCUCUCUCUCUCAGAGAAUGUUUGGAUCCGCCUCCUUCUCCGAUGCACGCACACGGCACAGAUAAGAGUCCACUCUCCUCCCAUUCCGUUCUCGCCGGAGUGUUUAAGCAAGGGUUGUCGCACACCACGCUACUUCGGCUCUCACUUUUCAUUGUCAGGUAACACACCAAAGGUCAAAGCAUCACCAAAGGAGAAGAUUAUUGACAUUAUUAAUUGAUGUAUUUUUCAAGUUGAUCAUAUUUUGGACAAUUUAAUUAACUUUAGUCCUUAUUUUGAUUUGGAUGACUGUAAUAAUUGAUUUUUAACCUUUGAACUUUUGAUGAACUAUUGAAUUUUACAUUUAA